rnacentral:tRNA from 1 species
CCGACCUUAGCUCAGUUGGUAGAGCGGAGGACUGUAGAUCCUUAGGUCGCUGGUUCGAGUCUGGCAGGUCGGA